rnacentral:lncRNA from 1 species
GAUUUGAACUCCAGACCUUUGGAAGAGCAGUCGGGUGGUCUUACCCACUGAGCCAUCUCACCAGCCCCCAGAGACAUCUUUUGUUCCUACAUCUUUACAACUUAUUUCCGUAGUUGCAUUUUGCUCAGUGUAUUAACGACUACUGUUCUUACAUGCGGUUUAAGGAGCCCUGCCGUAAGAUCCCAAUACUUUUAUAUGCCUGUGGGAGUCGAUCUAAACUUUGCCUUUUACCUUUUAUUGUUUAACUGGGAGUUGGUUUUUAUAUGUGGUGUGAGGUAGGGAUCAUGUUUUAUUUGUCCUAUUCUACAUAGAGAUGACUAGCCCAUCUACUGAGAUGGCCACUCUUUGCUGUGUAGUGCUGGACUGUCUUGGUUAUUAUUGAGUUCCCGCAUACACACCAAUCAUGAUUUAAAACUCUGUUCCUUCCUCAAGGCCUAUUUGAAAUUAAUUACUGUAGUUUUAUAAUAAGUAUUUAACUGAGAGACCGUUCUUUGCUACUUACCUUUUUAUUCUUGAAGGCUGCCUUGGGACUUCCUGGCUCUUUAGAUUUUUAAAUACAUUUAAUAAUUACAUGUACUACUGUGACCUAAUGCAACGUUUUAACAAAAAUCUUAUGUGUUUCAGCUUUAUUAAGGUUCAUAGCUACUGCCAAUUGCAGUUGGUUUAAUUUAAACCUUGGUCUUGUUCCCAGGAUUUACGAGACACUUCCUUUGACAGAGAAAAUAAUUGUGUUCCCCAGGGCCAAAGCUUGUAGAAUGGGCUUAGCAGCAUUCCAUCCUGACUGGACUCUUUCCAUUUCCCCUAAGUGCUGCCAGACCACUGACAGGCUAGUGUUCAUUUGCCCAGUUGCAACACACCCCAGUUUAGAGAACUAUGUAGUUUCUCAUGGCCACCCCUUGUCUGCCUUCCCUCCCCCAGCUGUGUGAAGCAGUACAUCCUUCCCUUCCUCCCGGACCCUGGAUUAGGCGCAAACCACACCCCAAAGCCCAUUUUCACAGAGUGAUCCUUUGCCAGCAGGGAAGGAAAGUAAAAUGGCUGACUUCUGACCUAGCAGAAACCAGCAGCAAAUGACCUUGCAGGUGUGAUUUUUAAGUGGAAAAAGGGAGAGGUCUAUGUUAGAAUAGGCUUAUUAGAAUAGGCUAGGAUGCAGUGGUUUGUUUUGAUUGAUCAAGUUAAUUAAGUUAGCCCAAAUGGGGCUUUUUGGUUGCUGGACUUCAGUACUUUGAUAGCUAGUCAUUGAUGAUCAGCCAUAGGAGUGAGUCUGGUAUGAGAAUGUGUCCAAGUAUGGGAGUAGAUCUCGGUAGCUAGCUUUAGGCAUGUAAGCUAUGGUUUAUAAGAGCGAGAAGGAGGAAGGCAAGGCCUGAUGGCACCAUGUUUGCCAUGCUCGGGCCAAAUAGAGCCCUUCUGUCCUCCCUAUUUCCCUUGAGCCCCUGAUGUAGCAAUUUUCUCAUUUCUGAUCAACUGUCUGGCACAAAGGCCUUGACCGUAUAAGGGUUUACUGUGGCUUACUGACUAAGCAUAUGCGGUCCAUCAUGGCUGAGGAAGCAUGGGACAAGAACUCCAGGCAGGUGGUCACCUUGCAUCUGUAGUCGGGACUUGGGGAGAUGCAAGAUGCUGCUCAACUAGCAUUUUCCACAUCCCCAUCCAGAGAUUACAGACCUGCACCUCCACAGCAGUCGCUUCUUCCCACAUGGCCAUGCUUCACCAAUUCCACUGAGGCCUGUAACACAACUUCUCAUGACUCACAACUGAAAACAUUAGUCUCAAGUCCUGAAGCAAACCAGAAUAGAAACUCUGCAGAAAAUAAAGCCAAAGUUCCUAUGAGCACAAGUCAUGCAUAAAGGCAGACCCUGGCCUGUGUGAGGUUAGUGAAGAGUGCCUUUCGGAGAGAAGCAUGUCGGAUGGCACAGGCUUCCUAUUGAACACUGGGCUGGAACCACGGGUGGCCUCUUCACCAACUUCUCUUGAGUGUUGAAGGCAGAAGAAGCUUCAGUUGAUGGAAAGUCUGUAAUUGGUGAGGUCUGAGGGAUUCCUGGAAUAGCUUAAUGUACCCGUUGGCUAACAACUUACUUAGUGGUGUUUUCCCACAGAAUGUUUCUGUGGGUUGUUUUCUACCCAAAUCACAUUUAUUGUGAUAUUCUACAAAACCUAAAAACUAGAGGCAUGCAGGACACUGAAGAGCCAGCCCGCCACCAUCUAGGUUCACUCCUGUUUAUGGUGAAGCCUCUGUUUCUCAGGGAGUGGGCUGUGCCCCACCUGUAACCUUAACUACAAAUGGUUCUGUACUGCCUGUUCCAGGAAACUGACAAGCAUAUCUUUGUUUCAAAAAGAUGUUUAUAACCAUCUUGCGACCCUACCUUUCUUUCAAAAGGUUAUUGUGGUGAUCUGUUGCUAUGAUACCUUGCUAUAAUCACCUUGCAACCGUGUCUUUGUUUCAGGAGGUUGUUGGAACUAACUAGUUAUGCUUAUGAUUCUGCUCCCAUAACCCCACUUAUUUUGUCCACCAAAUUCUGCAUUUGGAAAUCCCUAUCCAUAAGACUUGCCUUCUUCACAUCCAACGUUGACCUCUCAAACCCUGCCUUGAGGGAGGCAACCGUGUACACAAAUAAAAGAGCUUGCUUUAAUUAGUUACUUGCUUUAAUUAACCCGGCCAUGAUGAUUUGGAUCACUGGUCUCUCUCUCUCUCUCUCUCUUCCCACCUCUGGGAUUAACAGUACAUGUGUGUGUGUUUGUGGACAGCUGUCUCCUUCCUUUAGGAUAAAGUCUUGGAUAUGAAGUGUUGGUCUUGGUGUGAGAUUGUAUUCAAAGAAUUAGUAACAAGUCAUCACAUUGUUUGGCUGAAUCACAAAAGGGCAUGAGGGUAAAAUGGUGGACUGGAAAUGCAAGUAGCUAAUCAGCCUAGGACUUUGUCAUCAGUAAAAUUCAACAUUAAGUAACACAUCAGCUUUGCUUGUCUAUAAGCAUCCUACCACUGAUAAAAUAUGAGACAUCAAGUUAAGAAGAGAAGUUUAUUUUGGCUUAGUUUUAGAAUUUGGACCCCAUGGCUCACUGGCUCCACUGUUUUAGACCUCUGUAGACACAGGACAUCGUGGAGCUAUGUGUGAUGGGAAAAAACUCACUUCAUAAUAACAGGAAAGGCCAAGGACAAAAAAUACCCUUCAAGUCAUGUCCUUCAUGUCCUGCCUCUAACCAAGUCUCACCUUCUAGAGUUUCUGCUAUCUCCCAUGAAGAUGUGAAGCCAUGAGUGAUUAAUUCAUUCAUGAAGAUGAAUGCCUCCUAGUCCUGGAAGCUCAAAAACCUCACCUUGAGACAUUUGAUGCAUUGGAACCAAGCCUUCAACACAAGAGCUUCUCAGAGAUAUUUUAGAUCCAAUCCAUAUCAUGAAUAUAUAACUUUGUCCUUCAGUGUUGACUACCGGCUGUGUCCCAGACACUGGGAGAAUAGCCAACAAUGUAAGAGGCCUUAGCUUUUAGUCUAACAUCAUUUUUUUUCUCUUAUAAACCAUUUAUUUCUCCCGGCCGGAAGGUGGGCAUCGCUACCGGUGGAUAAACACAGAACACUGCGUGGAGCGAGGCUCGAAGAACAGCGGUGCAGGCUUGCCGGUGGCCUGCGCCAGCUGCUGGGUGAGCUCCGACAGAAACCCCUCUGGCACGGAGGCGUGGGGAACAUUGGUGUUCACGAUGGACAUAGGCAUGGUGGCGAAGAGACUGCGAGCGUGGACCGGAGGACGGUACAAAGCGCGGUGUGACCCCCUAACAUCAUUUUUAAAAGGCUUUCCUGGGUUCUUCUGAGGCGGGCCUGCCCCAGAUCACCAUGAAGCCCACUAAGGAUGAGCCUUUCUUAACUCCAGCAUGUCAUCAGGCUUCCCACACCACAGUGGCCGUUUUCAGUCCCACUGUCUGCAAGCAAGACUCUCAAGUGUAAUUGCUAGAAUUUGUCUUUAUCGUAGCAUGGAUCUUAUAAAAUAGAAGUCUAUGAAAUGAAAUGGAAAUGGAAAAAAAAGAUAACUUUUCCUUUCUGGAG